rnacentral:rRNA from 1 species
UACGUAGGGGGCAAGCGUUGUCCGGAUUUAUUGGGCGUAAAGAGCUCGUAGGCGGUUCGACAAGCCGACGGUGAAAUCUCCACGCUCAACGUGGAGGGGUCCGUCGGAACUGUCGUGACUAGAGUCCGGUAGGGGAGCGUGGAAUUCCUGGUGUAGCGGUGAAAUGCGCAGAUAUCAGGAGGAACACCAGCGGCGAAGGCGGCGCUCUGGGCCGGUACUGACGCUGAGGAGCGAAAGCGUGGGGAGCAAACAGG